UGGGGAAUAUUGCACAAUGGGCGAAAGCCUGAUGCAGCGACGCCGCGUGAGGGAUGACGGCCUUCGGGUUGUAAACCUCUUUCAGCAGGGAAGAAGCGAAAGUGACGGUACCUGCAGAAGAAGCGCCGGCUAACUACGUGCCAGCAGCCGCGGUAAUACGUAGGGCGCAAGCGUUGUCCGGAAUUAUUGGGCGUAAAGAGCUCGUAGGCGGCUUGUCACGUCGGGUGUGAAAGCCCGGGGCUUAACCCCGGGUCUGCAUUCGAUACGGGCUAGCUAGAGUGUGGUAGGGGAGAUCGGAAUUCCUGGUGUAGCGGUGAAAUGCGCAGAUAUCAGGAGGAACACCGGUGGCGAAGGCGGAUCUCUGGGCCAUUACUGACGCUGAGGAGCGAAAGCGUGGGGAGCGAACAGGAUUAGAUACCCUGGUAGUCCACGCCGUAAACGGUGGGAACUAGGUGUUGGCGACAUUCCACGUCGUCGGUGCCGCAGCUAACGCAU
rnacentral:rRNA from 1 species